rnacentral:lncRNA from 1 species
AUUACAACAGUUCCAGGUGAAGACAAUGUUGGCAAAAGGCUUCCAACCCCUCCAACUUUCUGACCUGAAGAAUGAAAGCAUUCUGUCUCUGGGAUCCUAAGAUCAGAAAUGUUGGAGGAGCUUCAAUGAGUGAGAAACUGUGUUACCUGCAAAAGAUAAAAGCAAAACAGAAUGCAUUGAUGAAGAUAAUUCAAUCAGCAUGCACAGCAUAGAAUUGUUAUAGAUUGGGUAACUUCAUCAAGACUUCUCCAUGACUGAAGGUGGUAGAUUCUGAAGGAUUGGUUACUUGCACUACAGCAAAUUUACAACCAGCAAAAUAGACUAGAAACAAGCUACUUGUUGAUGAAGAUCAUUGUCUGUUAAGACCCCAUCGCAGAGAAGUUAAAGAGCUUCAAUCACCAUGCUUUCAGGGUCAAUUUGUCUCCGAAAAGGAACAGAUGGGGAAGAAUUAUUCCAUUCACAGUUGACUUGUCAGAAAUUCCAAGAUCUUGGACUGGCUGAAAGCAAUGAUGUUGCCAUUCAUCCUUUCACGUAUUCAUUAUGGUCUACAGCUGAGAAGGGCUAUUUGGGGUUUGCUUUGCCUGAUGGUAGCAGAAGAAAACCAAGAGGCCUCUCUACGAAAGCUUGCAGUAAG